AUAGGCCUGUAUUCUAAGGAUACAUAUUUGAUUGAAGAAAAUUAUUACCAAAUAAGUACUGUCAGAGCAUAUACUUAAGUUAUACAUCAGGAAAUCUUUUUACUGCAGACACAGCUGCUGAUACAUACUGCAGACCUUUCUGUAUCAUGCUAUAUGAUCUUUUAGAGUAGAUAUGAAGAAAAAAUUCAUCCCUCAGAGGCCCAGCUAGUGAUACGGUUCUCUGAAUUUAAUUAAGCUGGUCCUUGGAAAAUAUACAAUCACUCUUUCACCUAAUCACACUCCAUUUUGUGAGACAAUGCAUAUAUAUAUAUACAUAUAUAUAUAUGUAUAUGUAUUUAUACCCUUACCUUCCAUCUUAGAGUCAAUACUAUGUAUUGGUUCCAAGGCAGAAGAGAAGUAAAGGCUAGGCAAUGGGAGCUAAAUGACUUACCCAGGGUCACAUAGCUAGGAAGUGUCUGAAGGCAGAUUUGAACCUAGGAUCUCAGGAACUGGCUCUCAAUCCACUGAGCCACCCAGCUGCCCCUAUUACAUUAUUUCUAAUUACAUAGUUCUCAAUGGUUUUAUUUUUAAUUGGGUAUUGGAAUGAUUCAUGUUCUGAUUGAUCUGAAAUAGUUCUUACCUUGUUGCACAUUUUAUUUUAAAAAGUCGAGCUCCAUCAUGUAUCACUCUAGUCUGAUACUGCUGCUUUCUACACAGAGGGCAAGUUUUUUUACCUGUGAACUUCUCAAAAGCCUGGAGACAUGCCUGAGGAAAAAGUUCGCUUAAGAUUUUGAAUAAACAUGAAGACAUCAAAAACUUCUGGAAAUCAACUGCUGUAAAGGCAUUCAUAAAUACAUUUUACUACCAUGGAUUCUGGAGAGGAAGAAUUCUUCAAACAAGUUGAGAAGAGAAGGAAUAAUCAGAAGUGUUGGGGGGACCACAGUAAGGGAUUUCUAGCAGGGCAUAACAAGACAGGCUGACAGCAUGGGAUGCUGCAAAACAAGAUUCCAGAGAGCAAGGACUGGAUCAACAUUCUAAGCACUGGGUAGCUGAGAGACAGUUGGGGACUGACAGUUGAGAACUGGGAGUGUCUCUCUGGAAGAAGACAGAGAAGGUGUGGAGGUAUCUCUCUCUGAAGAAAAACAACUUUGGAGCUGCCAGGGAAUUGGACCAUCUUCAAGGAUGGGUUGAGUGAGUGAUUACCCCACAUUGGUGGAUAGUGUAUGUGUGUUAAUCCUCAUUCCGCCUUGAAUCCUGUGAAGGACUCUUCAUCCUGAGGUGGUUUGACCCAAAGGAGGACUCUGGUAUAAGAAUCUUGCGCCCUAUUGACUUUACAAAUCCCUCUUUAUCUUUAAUUACUCCUUUAAUUGGUUAGGUUAAGAUAAUUUAGAAAGUUUAAAGUUUUAAUAUCUGGGUGGGGUUAGAAGUAAGUUAUUCCCUGAUUCCCUUUCCCUUCCUUUCUCCCUUUAGUUAAAUAAACUUUUAUUUUA